CUGCGAUCGAAGCUGCCGCCUGCCUCGGGGGGCUCAAAAGUGGCCGGCUGGCAACUUUUGAGCCCCCCGAGGCAGGCGGCAGCUUCUAUCGCCUUGUUUGCCUC